GACGAACGCUGGCGGCGUGCUUAACACAUGCAAGUCGAACGGUAAGGCCCUUCGGGGUACACGAGUGGCGAACGGGUGAGUAACACGUGGGUGAUCUGCCCUGCACUUUGGGAUAAGCCUGGGAAACUGGGUCUAAUACCGAAUAUGACUACAGGCUGCAUGGUCUGUGGUGGAAAGCUUUUGCGGUGUGGGAUGGGCCCGCGGCCUAUCAGCUUGUUGGUGGGGUGAUGGCCUACCAAGGCGACGACGGGUAGCCGGCCUGAGAGGGUGACCGGCCACACUGGGACUGAGAUACGGCCCAGACUCCUACGGGAGGCAGCAGUGGGGAAUAUUGCACAAUGGGCGCAAGCCUGAUGCAGCGACGCCGCGUGAGGGACGACGGCCUUCGGGUUGUAAACCUCUUUCAGCACAGACGAAGCGCAAGUGACGGUAGGUGCAGAAGAAGAACCGGCCAACUACGUG
rnacentral:rRNA from 1 species